GACACGGUCCAAACUCCUACGGGAGGCAGCAGUGAGGAAUAUUGGUCAAUGGACGAGAGUCUGAACCAGCCAAGUAGCGUGAAGGAUGACUGCCCUAUGGGUUGUAAACUUCUUUUAUACGGGAAUAAAGUGGGGCACGUGUGCCUUUUUGUAUGUACCGUAUGAAUAAGCAUCGGCUAACUCCGUGCCAGCAGCCGCGGUAAUACGGAGGAUGCGAGCGUUAUCCGGAUUUAUUGGGUUUAAAGGGAGCGUAGACGGGUUGUUAAGUCAGCUGUGAAAGUUUGCGGCUCAACCGUAAAAUUGCAGUUGAUACUGGCGACCUUGAGUGCGGUAGAGGAAGGCGGAAUUCGUGGUGUAGCGGUGAAAUGCUUAGAUAUCACGAAGAACUCCAAUUGCGAAGGCAGCUUUCUGGACCGUAACUGACGUUGAUGCUCGAAAGUGCGGGUAUCAAACAGGAUUAGAUACCCUGGUAGUCCGCACAGUAAACGAUGGACACUCGCUGUUGGCGAUAUACUGUCAGCGGCUUAGCGAAAGCGUUAAGUGUCCCACCUGGGGAGUACGCCGGCAACGGUGAAACUCAAAGGAAUUGACGGGGGCCCGCACAAGCGGAGGAACAUGUGGUUUAAUUCGAUGAUACGCGAGGAACCUUACCCGGGCUUGAACUGCAGUGGAAUUAUCCGGAAACGGAUAAGCGAGCAAUCGCCGCUGUGGAGGUGCUGCAUGGUUGUCGUCAGCUCGUGCCGUGAGGUGUCGGCUUAAGUGCCAUAACGAGCGCAACCCUUAUCUUCAGUUGCCAUCAGGUAAUGCUGGGCACUCUGUAGAGACUGCCGUCGGAAAAAAUCCCACGUCUU
rnacentral:rRNA from 1 species